GUUGCUUCUUCUGGUAAAUUUUUUUUUAUAUUGAAGUUGGGGAUGUUCAUGUUUUCGAAGUCUAUAUCAAAUUUUCUUAAUUAAACAGUUUUAAACAGCGUGCUGUAAUAUUUUUUGAGUUACAUUAUGCUACCUGUCUACUGGUACAAUC